rnacentral:rRNA from 1 species
CGUCAAAGCUUAAUUAUUUUGAUUUAACAAUCCCAAAAAUAAAUUAAAACCCUACCCUAAUACUGAGAAAUUUCAUACACUUAUGAAAGCUAUAAUGUUAAAACUAGUAAUAUGAAAUUUAACCUUUCUCUUAAAUGCAAGUGUAAGUCAGAACGAAUAACACACUGACAAUUAACAGUCUAAACUAAAGUGUUAACCUAACAAGAAAACCCCACUAAUUCAUCUGUUAACCUAACACAAGAGCAUUAAAAGAAAGACUAAAAGAAAAAGAAGGAACUCGGCAAAUAACGAUUCCGCCUGUUUACCAAAAACAUCGCCUCCUGAACAUAAUUAUAAGAGGUCCAGCCUGCCCAGUGACUCUGUUUAACGGCCGCGGUAUCCUAACCGUGCGAAGGUAGCGUAAUCACCUGUUUUUUAAUUAAAGACCUGUAUGAAAGGCAUCACGAGAAUCAAACUGUCUCCUUUCUCAAGUCAAUGAAACUAAUCUCCCUGUGAAAAAGCAGGGAUAUUCCUACAAGACGAGAAGACCCUUUGGAGCUUAAGACAAAUAAAUAUUUGCCUUUUUCCUUUAUUAUACCACAUAGCACUAUAUUUAUUAGUCUUGGGUUGGGGCAACCGCGGAGAAUAAAUUAACCUCCAAACUGAAUGGAAAUUUCCUAAACAAAAAGCAACAACUUUAUGUAUCAAAAAAUUGACACAAUUUGACCAAUACACUUUGACUAAUGAACCAAGUUACCCUAGGGAUAACAGCGCAAUCCACUUCGAGAGUUCAUAUCGAAAAGUGGGCUUACGACCUCG